GACGAACGCUGGCGGCGUGCUUAACACAUGCAAGUCGAACGGUGAAGCUCCAGCUUGCUGGAGUGGAUCAGUGGCGAACGGGUGAGUAACACGUGAGCAACCUGCCCCUGACUCUGGAAUAAGCGCUGGAAACGGCGUCUAAUACUGGAUACGAGAAGGGUCCGCAUGGGCACUUUCUGGAAAGUUUUUCGGUUGGGGAUGGGCUCGCGGCCUAUCAGCUUGUUGGUGAGGUAAUGGCUCACCAAGGCGACGACGGGUAGCCGGCCUGAGAGGGCGACCGGCCACACUGGGACUGAGACACGGCCCAGACUCCUACGGGAGGCAGCAGUGGGGAAUAUUGCACAAUGGGCGAAAGCCUGAUGCAGCGACGCCGCGUGAGGGAUGACGACCUUCGGGUUGUAAACCUCUUUCAGCAGGGAAGAAGCGAAAGUGACGGUACCUGCAGAAGAAGCACCGGCUAACUACGUG
rnacentral:rRNA from 1 species